CACGUAGGGCGCAAGCGUUGUCCGGAAUUAUUGGGCGUAAAGAGCUCGUAGGCGGUCUGUCGCGUCUGCUGUGAAAACUCGGGGCUUAACCCCGGGCCUGCAGUGGGUACGGGCAGACUAGAGUGAUGUAGGGGAGACUGGAAUUCCUGGUGUAGCGGUGAAAUGCGCAGAUAUCAGGAGGAACACCGAUGGCGAAGGCAGGUCUCUGGGCAUUAACUGACGCUGAGGAGCGAAAGCAUGGGGAGCGAACAGG
rnacentral:rRNA from 1 species